UACUAGAGUAGCACUCGCAUAUCAAUAAGCGGAGGAAAAGAAACUAACAAGGAUUCCCCUAGUAACGGCGAGUGAAGCGGGAAGAGCUCAAAUUUGAAAUCUUCAAGGGUUUCCCUUGACGAAUUGUAGUUUAAAGAAGUGUUUUCUGUUAGAGAGGUGGUAAAAGUUCUUUGGAAUAGGACAUCAUAGAGGGUGAGAAUCCCGUAUUUGAUCACUUUCUACUAACGUUGUGAUACACUUUCAAAGAGUCGGAUUGUUUGGGAAUGCAGUCCAAAAUGGGUGGUAAAUUUCAUCUAAAGCUAAAUAUUGGCGAGAGACCGAUAGCGAACAAGUACCGUGAGGGAAAGAUGAAAAGAACUUUGAAAAGAGAGUUAAACAGUACGUGAAAUUGUCAAAAGGGAAGCGUUUGACACCAGUGUUGUUUUUCCGAAAAUCAAUUAUGAAUGGCUUGAUUUUAAGUUUCAUGACCUUAAAAGCUUGUUUCUUAUUUUUCAUGUCUUUCGUAAUGCACUUUUCGGUUAACAAGUCAACAUCAAUUUCUUUUGUUGUAAAAGGUUAAGAGGAAGGUGGCUUUACUUUCGGGUAAAGUGUUUAUAGCCUUUUAACUCUGCAAUCGGAGAGAUUGAGGUCUGCAGCGUAGAUCCUUCGGGGUUAGAUACGUUUGUGCUAAGUUAUAGCUUUUCAUAGACAACUUGUUGACUAUGUUAAGUCUUGUAAUUUACUCGCAGAUGCUAUUUUACCUACGCUUAGGAUGUUGAUAGUCACAGCGUGUAC
rnacentral:rRNA from 1 species